AGCUCAUUGAGAACGGGCCAUGAUGACA
rnacentral:piRNA from 1 species